GAUGAACGCUGGCGGCGUGCCUAAUACAUGCAAGUCGAGCGAACAGACGAGGAGCUUGCUCCUCUGACGUUAGCGGCGGACGGGUGAGUAACACGUGGAUAACCUACCUAUAAGACUGGGAUAACUUCGGGAAACCGGAGCUAAUACCGGAUAAUAUAUUGAACCGCAUGGUUCAAUAGUGAAAGACGGUUUUGCUGUCACUUAUAGAUGGAUCCGCGCCGCAUUAGCUAGUUGGUAAGGUAACGGCUUACCAAGGCAACGAUGCGUAGCCGACCUGAGAGGGUGAGAGGCAACACGGGAACUGAGACACGGUCCAGACUCCUACGGGAGGCAGCAGUAGGGAAUCUUACGCAAUGGGCGAAAGCCUGACGGAGCAACGCAGCGUGAGUGAUGAAGGUCUUCGGAUCGUAAAACUCUGUUAUGAGGGAAGAACAAAUGUGUAAGUAACUAUGCACGUCUUGACGGUACCUAAUCAGAAAGCCACGGCUAACUACGUG
rnacentral:rRNA from 1 species